rnacentral:rRNA from 1 species
UACGUAGGUGGCGAGCGUUGUCCGGAAUUACUGGGUGUAAAGCGCGUGUAGGCGGGAGGCCAAGUCUGUGGUGAAAUCGCUCGGCUUAACUGGGCGGGGUCCAUGGAAACUGGUCACCUGGAGGUCGGUAGAGGCAAGUGGAAUUCCCGGUGUAGUGGUGAAAUGCGUAGAGAUCGGGAGGAACACCAGUGGCGAAGGCGGCUUGCUGGGCCGGACCUGACGCUGAGGUGCGAAAGCGUGGGGAGCAAACAGG